AACUAUUAACCAGAUACUCUGAUGUUGCAUUUGGAUUUAAAAAUCCUGGAAUUUCCGUUUGGUGCCAAGUCACCUCUUCAAGAGAGACUUAGCUAGUUCAUGGGCUGUCUGCUGUUUCCUCUUCUUCCUCUCUCCUCUGAGUAACACCAUGUGGCAGCCAGUGUAAAGGACCUCAGCUAUGAACUUACGGUACUAUUGUAUGCUUAUUUUUAGCAUGUCAUCAAUAUUUAAUAUUCUCACAAAGACAGUAAUUGUCAAUACUCAUAUUUUGCAAUGGCCUUAUUAACACCUAAGAGUGCAUCUGACACGGGUGGUCUUUGAUUUUGACAGAAAAUUAUCAUUAUAAAGGUAUUAUUACCUUUAUCAUUAACUCUCAUUAAGUUCCUUGUGCGUGUUACUGUGGUUUCCUUUUCUUUCCUUUUUUUAUUAUUACAAUUUUUUCUGUCCCCAUUUCUUUUUAGUAAAGUUUGUUUGAUAAUUUCACACAAUGACUGAUAAAAGUGUGACAUUUUCAGGGUCCAUCCUGAUAUUGUGUUAAAAUACGUGAUGUUUAAAAAAAAUCUAAAUCUCAAGUCCAUCUAUGAGAGGUGUUUUUUUCUUUUUUUUCAUGUACUUUUCUAUACAGCUGUGAUAGAAAACUCAACAGGAUAAUGAUUUGAUAUGUUAAUGGGACUGUCAUGUUUUUCUCCAGAGGUCUUGACUAUCUGUGGUUUUCUCCCCCGUCCCUGUGUGCUUCACUGGCCUCAGACAAUACAACGCUGUGCUUUUGGUGCAGAUCAUUGUGCCACAGACAAUAAACCAUCUUCUCAACCUCCUCUUGAACUCUAAUCCUGAACGGCACCUGCCUCUCCCAUCAGGAUGGAAAAGAUAUUUUACAACUGACUACGAAUGUGAAUAAUGACAUCUUCGUGGAAAGGCAGUGACGGUCAUAUAUGCUCUUUGUGUUUUUUUCUCUCUUUUAUAUUCUGUGCACUCACAGUUCCUCCUCUGAGAAACCAUUAAACAUUGAUCAAAAGAAAAAAUGAAGAAAGAGCCAAAUAAGUCAGUUUCUCUUUGAAGCUGAUGGGGGUCUCAUGGGGGUCUGCAGUGUCUCUCAGACUGUGUUUUAUUUCAUCUUUCUUAUUAGGAGGUGGAAGAGCAACGGUUUCAGACAAGACAAAGACUUCAGUGUUAUGACUGGACAGCAAUGUUUAUCUGUCUGCAAAGAGACUGUAUAACUUUGUGCAGACAUUCAUAAUUUACAUACAAGUUGAAUAACACGGUGACAGUAGAGCCAGGCGUAUGAAGAAAGCAAAACAGGGUGACAUUUUUAGGUUUUAUUUUUCCAGUAUAAAGUGGAAAUACUGAGAAUAAAGUCUUAAUGUUUGCAUGAAGAAAAAAAAUUGUAAGAACAAACCACCAGGAGUUGUGACGGCUCAAAGAAAACAAAUCAGAGGAGGGGAAAAGACUAAUUUAAUUAUUAUUUUAUCAUUUCCAUAGCAUUGUUAUGUCUAUGGUGUUCACUUCUAGUCGAAC